rnacentral:misc_RNA from 1 species
CAAAACAAAAUCCAAACCACACCAAUGUGCUCUUAAUUGCAAAAGAAAAAUUGCAAGUCUUUGUGUGUGUUGUUGUUUGUUUGCUUGUGGGGGGGGGGAGGAGAAAAAGUGGGGUCACACUUGCUUUUUUUCUUCACACACACACACACACACACACAUGCACACACAAGCUUCUUUUUCUCUUUUGCAAGUCUUUGAUUUUCAAUUUUUCAUUAACUCCUUGUUUAACCAACAACGGAUUACAAUGUUAAAACUUGAAACAAAAACAAAAACAAAAUGA